GGAUCCAUUGGCUGGUACAGGAAGUGCGUCAUGGUGAAAGUGCUCUAUUUCUCUCAACGGUGGAGGCGAGGUGGUUGGAGAUUGCGCUUGGUGGAGUCGGUUAGCGUAAUCUGCCUGCAUCGGUUUACAGAUGCCUUGUUUUACGCAAUGGUGUCAUUCGAUCGUGAAUUUAAAGAUCUGCAGAUCUAACGGGCGGGAAACGGCAGGAAGUGAAAUCUCCAUGAAAGGAUUCAAAAAAAGACGACUGGAAUUGCAGCUGCAAUGACUCAAUUAGUGUACUUGGUGCUGAAAUCCGAACACUAUCUUCCAGAAACACAGCAUCUCAAAUACAACUAUCAAUUUCUAUAAAAUUUAAGUGCCAGGUUUUAUAAUGUAAAUUGUUUUUCUAGCUUUGUCUAUAUCUUUUAAAAACUUAGUAUUUAUUAAAUACUGGAUCUGUGAUUUAUAACAAGUGAGGUACAAUUGCCAAUCAUGUUACUUCAGCUGUUUUAAUUUAGAAAUAAAACUGACCUGUUACUA